UAGCAGAGCAUUUGUUUUUUAGAUGGGGUCAGUGACCCCCUUUUUUUUUUUUUGGAAAGAGUGAAAAGAAGACCGGAGGAAAACUAAAAACUGAUUCUAUAAACACCUUGAAAAAAACUUUCUAUUAGGGGUUCUUUUGUCCAGCCCCUCUCUAAAAUCAUCAAUAAGCCUGACAUUUGACUUUUAAGUCACCUGCAUUGGAGAAAUCCCAUAAUUUCUGGCACAGAUGGAGAAAGUGGAUUUAGAGCACUCUGCGAUGCCCAGGGAGAUAAGAAGGUCCAAAUAAUAUGGUACUAGGCCGAAGUACUUCUCUUUCUAGCUUUGAUAAGUGGGUUCAUUACCAAGUAGGAACUUACUGCUUCAAACCCCUUACAACCUCCCUGCCAUCAGGUUGAAGCCUUCCAGAAUCGGACUGUAUCCACUCUUGCUGCAUAUGGAGAAGGAAUACUGGGAAAAAAACAUUGGAAAUUUGGCAUUGAUGUCUGUGGUCAUUAAAUCUAUCUCUGGGUGACCCCAGAUUGAUGUAAUCUGAUGAGGAACCUUGGGAUUUAGGGCCCACUCCCCCUUGGGUACAGAGUGUCUGCUCAGAAAGUCUACCUGCAAAUGCUGGGGUCCUGCUAUGUAGAGAUCUGUGAUAUUAACUACGUGUAAUUGAGCCCAACCCAUUAUGGGGUUGUCACACUGAACAGGGUUGAACUCUGAGCCCUCCUUGGCUCUUGAUAUAAGACAUGACUGAGGCAUUGUCCAACCCUGGUUUGGACUCAAAUCCUAAGAGAAUAUUAUGGAAUGCUAGAAGAGCAACCCUGACUUCAUGUUCGACCGAAUCUGAGAAAGAUUCCAAGCUCCCUGAGCAUAAAGGCUUAAGAGAUGAGCUCCUCAACCUUUUUCUGAGGCUUCAAAGAAAAGUUGUAUCUGUGCAGCCUCAACCAGGGGAAGUCCCAUCCAAAGACUGCUGGCUAUUUGCCACCAAGACAGAUAUUCCUUGCACCAACCUGGAGACUGGAUCAGUCUCAUCCUCCACUUGGCUCACCAGACCAGGCCAGAUCUAUAUUGGAAAUCAGAAGCCAUAAAGACAGUUUUCUGAAAGAAAAUCUGAGAUUUUGAAAGAGAUGUGAUGUAUCUUCUAUAGAAGAGAAAGGAGCCCCUACGUCGAUAAUUAUCUGCAAAGGAGAAACUUGACUCUUUGCAGCUGAACUCCCAAAACUGCUCUGGUUCUGUUGAGAUGAGUAAAAAGAGUGGAAGUAUCUCUGGCAACUGACAGAACAUUGUCUAGUUACUCGUAGAUAGUGGUAGUUUCUUUAGUAUUGGGAAGAAGGGGAUUUGGCCCCAGAUCAGGCAAGUCCCUAGGGCGGAAACAAAUUAAGUCAUUGGACAUUGUAUUGUACAGUAUUUUAGGCAGAAAUAUAUUUUAACUAAAAAGAAUUGCUGUUGAUGGUGGCCCCCUGUGUUGUAGGCUCUGAGAUAUUCCAGCCCUGAAAAAAUUGUCUUUCUUUAACUUGCCAGUAGGGGUCCCCCUGGAGCCACUUGCACUUUCUGCGCUGACUUGAUCAGUGUCACAGUGAGUUGCACAAGAGAGAAGACUUUUAAGGAACUAACAUCAGUCUUUACUGUCUGCAGCAAUUUAGUUUCCCCAUUGUCGUUUCCAAGCAAGAGCAGCUCAGUGCCUCCAGGACUACUCCACACUUACACACUGCUCAACUGUUCCAGCAUGAGAGGGAUUUACUUCAAAGAGAACUUCUGGAGUACUGAUAUCACGAGCAUCGCUGGGUAUGAAUGUCUCAUCCAACAUAUGAAUGACGGGAGGAAGAACUUAAAGGAAUAUGAAGAUUUCCUGAAAGAAAGGGCCAGCAUAGAAGAGAAGUAUGGAAAAGAUCUCGUUAACCUGACCAAGAAGAAACCAUGUGGACAGACGGAAAUAAACACCCUCAAGAGAGCCCUUGAUGUCUUCAAACAACAAAUUGAUAAUAUUGGUCAGAGUCACAUUCAACUGGCGCAAACGCUACGGGACGAGGCGAGAAAGAUGGAGGAAUACAGAGAAAGGCAGAGGCAGGAGCGAAAAAAGAUAGAAGCUAUUAUGGACACCUCUCAUAAACAGAAACUGAUGCAGUACAAAAAGACAAUGGAGUCGAAGAGGAAUUAUGAGCAGAGAUGUCGGGAGAAGGAUGAAGCUGAACAAGCUGUGGCCUGUUACAAAAAUAUGGUGAAUACCAAACAGCAAGACAAGGUUUUUGCUAAACUGGCACAUUCAAAGGUGACAGCCGAAUCUGCAGAUAAGUCUUACCAACAAAAUAUCUUCUUACUUGACAAAAUAAGGGAAGACUGGCAAAAGGAUCAUGUCAGCUCCUGCGAGUUUUUGGAGAAUCAGGAAUGGGAGCGAGUAAAUUUCUUCCGGAACGCGGUGUGGACGCAUGCCAAUCAGCUGUCCCAGCAAUGUGUAACCAUCGAUGUGAUGUGUGAAGUGGUCCGGAAAGCUUUAGAAGGAUGUAACAUAGAGAAGGACGUUGAAUAUUUCAUAGAAGGUCACAAGACGGGAAACGUCCCACCAGCCCCCAUUCCUUAUGAAAAUUACUAUAACUGCCAAAAGCGCUCUCCAGCCCCUGCCUGGAACCCUGGGAUGCCAGAAAUAAGAUGAUCCUGCUUAUGCUUCUGUGGGGGACUACAAUGUGUACCAGUAGCCAUCAAAUAAUAAAUUGUACAGAAUAAGGGCGGAAGAAGUGUUUGUUUUGCCCUAGUUGGACAUCAUGGAAGUUCUUCUGGAGUGCAAAGAAAUUUGAAUCAAAUUUGCCCCCAAGCGACAGUUGCAGAUCCAGUCCAAAGACUGCACCCUCGGAACCUUUGCCCCUCAUCUGAUACGUUUCUGGUAGGAAGGAAAGACGGGAACACUUCCAGCAUUCCGUGACUUUAAUGUUUCCUUCCCUGAAGGAAGAACAUGGUGUAAAUGUAAAUGGCAGCGCUGCCAUGAACUCUUUGUGUUUCAGACAAUGGCACUCGGUGUAAAUGACAUUUAGCAGCCUCGCUGGCAGGUGUCUGUUUGUGAGUCUUAAAAAUUCAGAAUUUCAGCAUUUGGCACGAAACGUCAAGAGUGGAAUGAACCCAAGGAAACGGUUUCACCCGUCAGACCCAGAGAUAACACUUAAGGAUUGAACUGUUUUAACUUGUCGUCUACUGAUAUUUGCUUAAUAA